AACGAACGCUGGCGGCAGGCUUAACACAUGCAAGUCGAGCGCAUCCUUCGGGGUGAGCGGCAGACGGGUGAGUAACGCGUGGGAAUCUACCUUUUGCUACGGAAUAGCUCCGGGAAACUGGAAUUAAUACCGUAUGUGCCCUUAGGGGGAAAGAUUUAUCGGCAAGGGAUGAGCCCGCGUUGGAUUAGCUAGUUGGUGGGGUAAAGGCCUACCAAGGCGACGAUCCAUAGCUGGUCUGAGAGGAUGAUCAGCCACAUUGGGACUGAGACACGGCCCAAACUCCUACGGGAGGCAGCAGUGGGGAAUAUUGGACAAUGGGCGCAAGCCUGAACCAGCCAUGCCGCGUGAGUGAUGAAGGCCUUAGGGUUGUAAAGCUCUUUCACCGGAGAAGAUAAUGACGGUAUCCGGAGAAGAAGCCCCGGCUAACUUCGUG
rnacentral:rRNA from 1 species